rnacentral:rRNA from 1 species
UGAGUACGAGAUGCUACGGCAUCGAAGCAGUCUAUGUCAUACUUCCAAGAAAAGCUUGCACUGUCAUAAACAAAGAAUGCCUGUACCAUAACCGACACAGGUGGGUAGGUAGAGUAUACUAAGGGGCGCGAGAUAACUCUCUCUAAGGAACUCGGCAAAAUGACUCCGUAACUUCGGGAGAAGGAGUGCCUUAUUUCUAAGGUUGCAAUAACAAGAUCCGAGCAACUGUUUACCAAAAACACAGGUCUCCGCUAAGUCGUAAGACGAUGUAUGGGGGCUGACGCCUGCCCAGUGCCAGAAGGUUAAAGAAGUUGGUUAGCAUUAGCGAAGCUGAUAACUGAAGCCCUGGUGAACGGCGGCCGUAACGAUAACGGUCCUAAGGUAGCGAAAUUCCUUGUCGGGUAAGUUCCGACCCGCACGAAAGGCGUAAUGAUUUGGAUACUGUCUCGGAGAGGGGCUCGGUGAAAUAGACUUGUCUGUGAAGAUGCGGACUACCUGCACCUGGACAGAAAGACCCUAUGAAGCUUUACUGUAACUUGAGAUUGAAAUUGGACUUUAUUUGCGCAGUAUAGGUGGGAGGCGUUGAGAAUAAUCUUGCGGGAUUGUUGGAGCCAUCAGUGAGAUACCACUCUUGUAAUGUUAGAUUUCUAACUUUGUAUCAUUAUCUGGUCAAAGAACAGUUUCAGGCGGGCAGUUUGACUGGGGCGGUCGCCUCCCAAAGGGUAACGGAGGCGCACAAAGGUUUCCUCUGAACGGGUAGAAAUCGUAUCUAGAGUGUAAAGGCAUAAGGAAGCUUGACUGUGAGACCUACAAGUCGAGCAGGGACGAAAGUCGGUCUUAGUGAUCUGACGGUGCUGAGUGGAAAGGCCGUCACUCAACGGAUAAAAGUUACUCUAGGAUAACAGGCUGAUCUCCCCCAAGAGUUCACAUCGACGGGGAGGUUUGGCACCUCGAUGUCGGCUCAUCGCAUCCUGGGGCGGUAGUCCGUCCCAAGGGUUGGGCUGUUCGCCCAUGAAAGCGGUACGCGAGCUGGGUUCAGAACGUCGUGAGACAGUUCGGUCCAUAUCCGGUGUAGGCGUUAGAAUAUUGAGAGGAGCCUUCUCUAGUACGAGAGGACCGAGAAGGACAUACCUCUGGUGUACCAGUUAUCGUGCCAACGGUAAACGCUGGGUAGCUAUGUAUGGAGUGGAUAACCGCUGAAAGCAUCUAAGUGGGAAGCCCACCUCAAGAUAAGUAUUCUCAC